GAUCAAAGGUGCGUUUCACUAAGCCCAGCAAUUUGAGGAAAUUUUGUAAGUGUAGUAGGAAGUCUAUAUGUCUGAUUUCAUCAUUAUUAAUUAUUAUUGUAAUAGUUAUUUAGCCAUGCUACAGACAUCCUAGACAUAGAGGAAAGAACAUCAGCUCAUCCUAACAAAGUAGAUAUAAUAAAUAGGUUCGUUAACUAGUUCUGAAGACAGUGCAGAGUUCAGUAUUCUGUGUGAAGGCAGUGUGACUGACUGCCAUGAUGUUUUGCAGUAACUCUGGGUGGAUUUUAACUACGACUCUGGUGCUCUCGGUGAUGGUGUUGCUCUGGAUCUGCUGUGCAGCUGUGGCUACAGCCGUGGAGCAAUACGUGCCCCCUGAGAAGCUGAGUAUCUAUGGUGACUUGGAGUUUAUGAAUGAACAAAAGCUGAGCAGAUAUCCAGCUCCUUCCCUCGUGGUUGUCAGGUCUCAGACUGAAGAGCACGAGGAGGCGGGGCCCCUG
rnacentral:lncRNA from 1 species